AAAUCGAAAAGGCAAAACUGGAGAAAUCCAGCGACGCAAAACUACAGGGACCUCCGCCUUAUAAGGCAAGGUCAGCCAGUUACCGAA
rnacentral:ncRNA from 1 species